GCGUUAAAACACGGCUUCACGUACGAUCGCUGAUGCUAAGCAACAUCGAGCAUGGUCAGUAUCUCGAUGGAUGACCGCUUGGGAAUACCCGGUGCUGUUA